rnacentral:RNase_P_RNA from 1 species
GGUAGGCAGUUAGCUCAUUACGGGAUAGAUCUUUAAAUCCUGAGGAAAGUCCAGCCACCAUUAAAUGUCGCUCUUAGGAGUUCCAGAAAUGGAAAGUAGCAUUCAGAAACGACACGUCCUUGAAAUAGUAUGAUAAUGGCGAAGUUUCCUGCGAGGGGAAUGAGCAAACCCUUUGACAUUUUUCAAGGGAUCGAUGGAACGAAAUGCCUCGACUGGUGCAAGUCAAAAUGAUGCUUAGUUGAAUUAUGAGCACUUCCAUAUGGAAGUACAGAAGCUGGCUUAUUGCUGUCUACC